GCACUGUGUCUUGGAAGAGUCUGGAUUGAUAAUAUUGGAGACCGGAUUGGUGGGACAGGGGAUGCACUGGAAGAGGGAGCCUGUGGAGUAACAGUGGGUGCUCUGUCCACCUCUCUUGCUUCGUCUGAAAGUUGAAAAUGAACACCAUACUUGAGUGGACCAUCUUCCCUGUAGGGAUCCACAUCUAAAGACUGGCAAGCAGUCAUUAGUGCCAGGGCAAAAGUCAAAAGAUCUACAGCUGUACGGAUAACCUGGGCCCAGGAAACAUUGCCUGGCACACAUCUCUACAGACGAUGCCUUCAGGACUAUAUCUGCUGCCCCUUCCACGAUUUGGCCUGGAGGUCACAGGUGGAG